AGUGUCAUAUUUUAAUUUAAAAAUUUUAAAUUGCAAGUUUAAAGAUAGCGCAUUGCUUAACACUU
rnacentral:tRNA from 1 species